rnacentral:rRNA from 1 species
GGGUUGUGAGGUUAAGCGACUAAGCGUACACGGUGGAUGCCCUGGCAGUCAGAGGCGAUGAAGGACGUGCUAAUCUGCGAUAAGCGUCGGUAAGGUGAUAUGAACCGUUAUAACCGGCGAUUUCCGAAUGGGGAAACCCAGUGUGUUUCGACACACUAUCAUUAACUGAAUCCAUAGGUUAAUGAGGCGAACCGGGGGAACUGAAACAUCUAAGUACCCCGAGGAAAAGAAAUCAACCGAGAUUCCCCCAGUAGCGGCGAGCGAACGGGGAGCAGCCCAGAGCCUGAAUCAGUGUGUGUGUUAGUGGAAGCGUCUGGAAAGGCGCGCGAUACAGGGUGACAGCCCCGUACACAAAAAUGCACAUACUGUGAGCUCGAUGAGUAGGGCGGGACACGUGGUAUCCUGUCUGAAUAUGGGGGGACCAUCCUCCAAGGCUAAAUACUCCUGACUGACCGAUAGUGAACCAGUACCGUGAGGGAAAGGCGAAAAGAACCCCGGCGAGGGGAGUGAAAAAGAACCUGAAACCGUGUACGUACAAGCAGUGGGAGCACGCUUAGGCGUGUGACUGCGUACCUUUUGUAUAAUGGGUCAGCGACUUAUAUUCUGUAGCAAGGUUAACCGAAUAGGGGAGCCGAAGGGAAACCGAGUCUUAACUGGGCGUUAAGUUGCAGGGUAUAGACCCGAAACCCGGUGAUCUAGCCAUGGGCAGGUUGAAGGUUGGGUAACACUAACUGGAGGACCGAACCGACUAAUGUUGAAAAAUUAGCGGAUGACUUGUGGCUGGGGGUGAAAGGCCAAUCAAACCGGGAGAUAGCUGGUUCUCCCCGAAAGCUAUUUAGGUAGCGCCUCGUGAAUUCAUCUCCGGGGGUAGAGCACUGUUUCGGCAAGGGGGUCAUCCCGACUUACCAACCCGAUGCAAACUGCGAAUACCGGAGAAUGUUAUCACGGGAGACACACGGCGGGUGCUAACGUCCGUCGUGAAGAGGGAAACAACCCAGACCGCCAGCUAAGGUCCCAAAGUCAUGGUUAAGUGGGAAACGAUGUGGGAAGGCCCAGACAGCCAGGAUGUUGGCUUAGAAGCAGCCAUCAUUUAAAGAAAGCGUAAUAGCUCACUGGUCGAGUCGGCCUGCGCGGAAGAUGUAACGGGGCUAAACCAUGCACCGAAGCUGCGGCAGCGACGCUUAUGCGUUGUUGGGUAGGGGAGCGUUCUGUAAGCCUGUGAAGGUGUACUGUGAGGUAUGCUGGAGGUAUCAGAAGUGCGAAUGCUGACAUAAGUAACGAUAAAGCGGGUGAAAAGCCCGCUCGCCGGAAGACCAAGGGUUCCUGUCCAACGUUAAUCGGGGCAGGGUGAGUCGACCCCUAAGGCGAGGCCGAAAGGCGUAGUCGAUGGGAAACAGGUUAAUAUUCCUGUACUUGGUGUUACUGCGAAGGGGGGACGGAGAAGGCUAUGUUGGCCGGGCGACGGUUGUCCCGGUUUAAGCGUGUAGGCUGGUUUUCCAGGCAAAUCCGGAAAAUCAAGGCUGAGGCGUGAUGACGAGGCACUACGGUGCUGAAGCAACAAAUGCCCUGCUUCCAGGAAAAGCCUCUAAGCAUCAGGUAACAUCAAAUCGUACCCCAAACCGACACAGGUGGUCAGGUAGAGAAUACCAAGGCGCUUGAGAGAACUCGGGUGAAGGAACUAGGCAAAAUGGUGCCGUAACUUCGGGAGAAGGCACGCUGAUAUGUAGGUGAAGUCCCUCGCGGAUGGAGCUGAAAUCAGUCGAAGAUACCAGCUGGCUGCAACUGUUUAUUAAAAACACAGCACUGUGCAAACACGAAAGUGGACGUAUACGGUGUGACGCCUGCCCGGUGCCGGAAGGUUAAUUGAUGGGGUCAGCGCAAGCGAAGCUCUUGAUCGAAGCCCCGGUAAACGGCGGCCGUAACUAUAACGGUCCUAAGGUAGCGAAAUUCCUUGUCGGGUAAGUUCCGACCUGCACGAAUGGCGUAAUGAUGGCCAGGCUGUCUCCACCCGAGACUCAGUGAAAUUGAACUCGCUGUGAAGAUGCAGUGUACCCGCGGCAAGACGGAAAGACCCCGUGAACCUUUACUAUAGCUUGACACUGAACAUUGAGCCUUGAUGUGUAGGAUAGGUGGGAGGCUUAGAAGUGUGGACGCCAGUCUGCAUGGAGCCGACCUUGAAAUACCACCCUUUAAUGUUUGAUGUUCUAACGUUGACCCGUAAUCCGGGUUGCGGACAGUGUCUGGUGGGUAGUUUGACUGGGGCGGUCUCCUCCUAAAGAGUAACGGAGGAGCACGAAGGUUGGCUAAUCCUGGUCGGACAUCAGGAGGUUAGUGCAAUGGCAUAAGCCAGCUUGACUGCGAGCGUGACGGCGCGAGCAGGUGCGAAAGCAGGUCAUAGUGAUCCGGUGGUUCUGAAUGGAAGGGCCAUCGCUCAACGGAUAAAAGGUACUCCGGGGAUAACAGGCUGAUACCGCCCAAGAGUUCAUAUCGACGGCGGUGUUUGGCACCUCGAUGUCGGCUCAUCACAUCCUGGGGCUGAAGUAGGUCCCAAGGGUAUGGCUGUUCGCCAUUUAAAGUGGUACGCGAGCUGGGUUUAGAACGUCGUGAGACAGUUCGGUCCCUAUCUGCCGUGGGCGCUGGAGAACUGAGGGGGGCUGCUCCUAGUACGAGAGGACCGGAGUGGACGCAUCACUGGUGUUCGGGUUGUCAUGCCAAUGGCACUGCCCGGUAGCUAAAUGCGGAAGAGAUAAGUGCUGAAAGCAUCUAAGCACGAAACUUGCCCCGAGAUGAGUUCUCCCUGACUCCUUGAGAGUCCUGAAGGAACGUUGAAGACGACGACGUUGAUAGGCCGGGUGUGUAAGCGCAGCGAUGCGUUGAGCUAACCGGUACUAAUGAACCGUGAGGCUUAACCUUACAACGCCGAAGGUGUUU